GACAGAAAAGAAUAAAGAAGAAAUAAAAAUUCCCUGACACUCUACUGCUUUGACAUUUUGUUGGUCCUCUUUCCAGUCUCCUCUGUGCACAAGCAUGGGCAUACACACACACACACACACACACGCCCAGAUUUUUAUGUUUGUAUUUUUUUUUAAUCUUUUGUCUUUUUAGGGCCUUACCUGCAGCAUAUGGAGGUUCCCAGGCCAGGGGUCUAAUGGGAGCUAUUGCUGCCGGCCUACGCCACAGCCACCACAACGCCAGAUCCAAGCCAUGUCUGCAACCUACACCACAGUUCACGGCAAUGCCGGAUCCUUAACCCACUGAGCGAGGCCAGGGAUCAAACCCGCAACCUCUGGUUCCUAGUUUACUAUUAUUUUGGGACAUGGUUUUCCAGCCUGUCUAGUUCUCUAAUGAGGGACCUCAUUGUUGCUCCAUUGCUGGGGUCCAGGUAGGGCCAGCCUAGUGCUUGCUAUGCCCUUGGGGAGCCAGGGCAGGGACAAGCCACCAACGUAGCCUUAGAGGUAUAGAGAGGCUCCUUGGGCUGGAGGGCCUGGUAGAAGUACCCCCUAAUCCUGGGGGAGCCCCUGGCCCCUGGUCUGGCUGCCUAGCUGCUCCAUCACUGCCCAGUUCCAAGCUCAGCUGGGAGCCAAGCCCGUCAUGACUCUUCCCUCAGGGUUCUGCUGCCUGUCCUGGCGUGUGCUGGCCUGACCUGAGCCGCCCUUGGCUGAGCCGGGGCCAGUGAGGGUGGGCCUCACCCUGAGGCCUGGCCAGGCAUCUGAGGCCAGUGAUCAGGGAACCUUGCUUCAAUAAGGCCUUAGGCCCAAGAAGCAUCCUUAGUUCAGCCCUCAGCCUGGAGGAAACCCCUGUGCUCCAAGCCUCAUUGUAUUGUCAGGAUUUCCUGUUUCCUGGCCGCCUAACCUAUUUAUGGGCCACAAUGGCCACUUCCCUGGGGAGCCCUCUACUGUACAUGGGCUCCUUCUCCGCAGGCCUCUGGGUUUGGCUCACACAUCCCAUCACUGGCCCAGCCUGGCCUUUCUCUGGGUGUCAACUCACAUGCUAAUUCAGCAGACUGAUAGAGCCUGCCAGGCACCAGGUGAGGAUUCUGAGGCUCUGUCUGGGCUCAGCAAGAGUCUGACGGUCCAUCAGCUGCGAGCGCUGUGUGGUGCUAGGUGACAUGAGCCUACAGCACGGGGAUGACCACCCUCUGCUCAGGCCCUAGCAUCCUUUCUAGUCUUGUCUCCUCUACCUCCCUUCCGUACCCCUCCCCUCCAGCCGCAGCUCCACUCUCCGCUUUGAACUUGCCCUGCCUUUUCCUGCCCAAGAGCCUUUGCUCGUGUUGCAUCUCUGGCCUCUCAUGUCCUGAGCAAUUAAAUCAGGCAAGCUUUUUUCUUUUUUUGUCUUUUUGCCAUUUCUUGGGCCACUCCCACAGCAUAGGGAAGUUCCCAGGCUAGGGGUCGAACCGGAGCUAUAGCCACCGGCCUACACCACAGCUCACGGCAACGCCGGAUCCUUAACCCACUUAGCAAGGCCAGGGAUCGAAUCUGCAACCUCAUGGUUCCUAGUCGGAUUCAUUAACCACUGCGCCACGACGGGAACUCCCUAAAUCAGGCAAACUUUAUCAAAUGAAGCAGACACUAUUCAGCUCAACAAUUUUACUCAACCUUCAAGGCCCUGAUUCAAAUGUCACCUUUUUGGGGAGGCUUUUCUGUGCCCUAAGACUGGGCCUCCCAUCCCCUUUCCCCAGGCCUAAUGCCAUGCUAUAGGAGAAGCGACCAGGUCAGUUCUGUGGGUAUCUGAGGUCAGCUCCCUAGAAUCAGAAACUGAGAUGGAAUUUUUGUGCAAGUGCUUUAUUGAAAGCUUCAAUCGGUAUGAAAGUGAGGGAAGCAGAACAGGGCAGAGGAAGAAGCUGAACGGGACAUAAUUUUAGGAGAAAUCUUGCCUCAGCCUGAUUCUUGGGAAUCCCGGAGUGUGAAUGGCACCGAAGAAGUUGUGGACUCCAGAGACCAGGGGACCAGGCUGCUAUCCACCCACGUCAGUCAGUCACUGCUUAUAACUUCCCAGGCAUCACCACGUAAUAUCAAUGCCUGCAGGCAUCAGCCAAGGGCAGCCUCUGGAGGGGGUGAGCUGAGAACUACCAGCAGCACGCAGCUGAGGGACGGGAGCACCAGCCCAGGGAUCUGGGCCAUCAGGAACCACUCCUGCUGCAGGGAGUGUGCAGUGCCCCACCAAGUGGUACCUGCCAGGGGCAGGUAUGGCAUCUGAGGCACCCCAGAGCUCAGAACCGGGCACCCCAAAACAGCCAUGACAUGUGACAGACUGAGCUGAGCCCAGGGAGAGCAGCAGCUUCAGGGCUGAUAGUGGUUGACACAGUGGACUGAGCCCGGGUGCGUGGGGGUCACCCCCGCCCCAGUGUCUUCCCAGCAGACUUGGUAUCUGUGCCCCUAGGCCUUGUCUCCUCUGGCUGUGUCCCCCCUCUGUCCCUUUGGUUGUGUUGGUCAGCCGGCUCUAGGAGGGCUGCAGGUCUCGUGCCAAGUAUGUUCUGGAACUUUCCCCAGCCCCAUCUACCUUCACUCCCCUCUCUGCUUUGGGCACCAUCCCUACCCAAGCCACCUCGGACUGGCAAGCACUCCCUAAAUCCCUUCUCCUCCUGGAAGCCUCCUCAGACUUGGACUCAGGAAAAAGUUGAUACUGGGGAAGGGGCUUGUUUCUGGCUGUUUCCUGUGCCCUGGUGGUGGUGGUGGUUGUGGGGGGAUCUCCAGGCUGACCAACCAAGGAGCUGGUCUCAGGGGCCUCAGCCAAAGGCCACGGUGUUUACACUGGGAUGAGGGGGUCAGGGUGAAGAUGAGGUCUGGAGAAGGGCUGGGUCCUGCUGAGCAGCCUGCAGGAGGCAGAGCUUACACCUCAGAAAGGGAAAGGGAGCCAGAAGGGAUGUCCAGAAGCCUCACUCAGCAUCCCUGCCCAGCUGAGCCCCCCAUUUGGGGAGGGUUAGGUGGGGUUUGGGCCAGGCAGAAAAGAGAGAGGAAGGGGAGCAUGCCUGUGUUGAUAACCCUUCCAGGAACUAGUUCGGGCUUAGAGGAAGGAAGAGAGAAAAACAGCCCACAGCCAGGACCAUUAGGCAGGAAGCCGGAAUCCCAGUUCUGUCCCACGUGUUUUGCAACCUAAAGCUCUAGGCCCCUGGGCCUCAGGCUCCUCAAAUAAAUGACAAGGAGUUGGACGGGGGGAGGGGGGUGGCUGUGGGGAUUCUUUAGGCUGAGACAGCCUGCUGAAAGUCCACUAAGUCAGGAAGGGCCCCCCAGUCCCUGGGGAGAGGCAGUUCUUCAGCAUGAGGGACUAGGAGCCUCAGAGCCCUGGAGGGAGGAAGCGGCGCCCAGGGGCCUUGUGGGUAACGUGUUGGUCGGAACUGGGCUGCAGUCUCUGGGCUACCCUUCCUGCUGUGGGCCCUUUACAUCUCUGAGCCUCAGGCUCUCGCUGGGAAAAGGGGACAUUAAUAACAGCACCUGCCUUGAUGACUGGUAUGAGGGAUCAGGGGGCCUCAGGGACAUGUUCCUGCCCCUCCCUCCUUGGUUUCUGUGACCCUAUUAGGGAAGCAGGGCAAGGGUCAUGCCCAUAUUUCAGAUGACAAAACCAAGGCUCCAAGUGGUCAGCUCAGGCUGCCUCUCCCGCUGCCAGCAUUACAGGCGAUGGUGGCCAGGCAGUGCUUUCUCUCUCUCACACGCACACACACACCCUCUGCAGGGCCACCCUGGGCUCAGCACUGCUGAGGUGGGAGUUGGGAGCAGAGCAUGGCUUUUCCAGCUGCUGGGCUCCUCCUGCCAGAGGGGAGGAAGGAAGGAAUGGAGGCGGUGGCAGGAGGGGGACAGGAUGGAGGCGGAGGGGUGAAGUGGCGGGAGAUGGAGGCGCCAGCUGCCUGUUCCAUGGAAGGAUCUGUUUUUUUCCCUGGAAACACUCCUGCCCUCCACCCCCUCCCCCAGCUGCCUUUUCCUAGAACAAAAGCUGGGGGUGGAGAGGAGCCGGUCGGUCAGGAGGCCCACCUGGACAGAUGCUGUGACCACACCAGCCCAGCUUGACUCCGGCGCCUAAGCCCCUGACCAUGACCCUGCCUUCUUCCCGGGGGGGUACUAUCAACUCAGAAUAAGACAAGACGGGAGGUCAUGGUGGCCAGUCCCCUGCUUCAGGAAGGCCAGGGCUCCAAUGAAGGGCUACUUCCCUUGUGGGCCUGUCAUGCUGUUUAAUCUAGAAGUUCCUUCUAGGAGUUCCCACUGUGCCACAGUGGGUAAAGAAGCUGACUGCAGUGGCUCAGGUCGCUGCAGAGGCUCAGGUCAACCCUGGCCCGGUGCAGUGGAUUAAACAGUCCAGUGUUGCCACAUCUACAGUGCAGGUCAGAGCUGCAACUCGGAUUCAAUGCCUGCCCGGGAACUUCCAUAUGCUGCAGGGGUGGCCAUAAAAAUAAAUAAAUAAAUAAUAAGAGUUCCUGCUUACGUCCAACAAGAUCAUCCCCACUGCAGGACAGACAAGCACCCACCAUGCCCCUGCCUCCCUCCCCGGCCAGCGAGGCCUCGGGUGGGGAUGCAGGCGUGGGGCGGGCAGUGGGAGGGAAGGUCAGUGAGGACUGGGGAGAAGUCCUCUGGCGUUUCACCUGCUCUGCUUUCUGCUCCGCCUGGCUCUGGCCUCCACCUCUUUCAUCCUCUUUCUCCCAUUCUCCCCCUCCCCCUCCUGCUUUCCCCCUCUCUUUUCCUCUGAAUCAUUUCUCUCUUGUUCCUGUGUGUGUGUGUUCCUCUCUCCUGGCUCCUCUCUCUCCCUCCUUUUGCACACCCGCUCCCCAUCCCUCUCUCUCCGGCUCUCUAGCACUCCCCACCACAGAUCCAGCUGUUCUGCGGGCAUAUGUGGGCAUCAUACCUCUAAGUUGUUCCCCCAGCUCCCCCUCAUCCCCUCCGAUGAUCCCUGUGGCUCCUGUGUGCUCCCACUUCCUGGUUUCUGUCCAGCACAGAAUGUCGGAGCUGCAGUGCAAGGGUUCUGACAUGAGUUGGGGCUGAGAAAUCCAGAGCUAACAGACUCAAGCAGAGGCCAGUUGAAGCAGCAGCCCAGCACAGCAGAGCUGGAGGAGUCUGAAAUUACCAGCACCCUUUCACUUAAUAGCUGGUAAGUCAGGGCUCCCCCUGUGGGGUCCUAGGCAGACACCCCCAGACCCAGUGGUGCAGGGUUCUCUGCAUCCAGGCACUCCUGGCCAAUCAAUGCCACCCCAGCAGGCAGCCCCGCGGCCCAGCAACUAUAAAUCACCGUCAUUGUCUGGCCUGGCCCCAGUACUUUAAAAGGAAGGACAAGAAUCUCCCUGCACGGGGCCCCUCUGCCUGCCAGUAGAGAGAGAGACAGAGGACUGACGCAGCACAAGAGAAAGGGGGUCUUUAUGCCCACAGGCAGGAGGGCACCGCGUCCCCUCCCAGUCCCCCUACAAUGCCCUCUGGUGAAAGGAGCCUUUGUGAUGCUCCCUGAAACUGGCCAGAGCAGACACAGCACCCUCCUCAAACAGGAGGCAGAGGCAGGGAGCUCAGCUGGGGUGGGGGCUGCCCUGUGGGGAAGAGGGUCACAAGCCAUACUGGGGGAGGCCUCUGGGCCCAAGGACCUGAGGAAGAGGCCAUGUGAUGGCAGGAAAGGAGAAAGGAGACAAAGGGCAGCAGGAGGAGGUGGGGUUUCACAGCUGCAGAGGAGUGAAUUCCUGAGGAAUUGGUCACAGAGGAGGGGCAGCCCCCAUCCCCACCACACAUCGCUGACCACAUU
rnacentral:lncRNA from 1 species